AUGCAUGCGCGUGUACUUAAUUCUUCAUUAUCUAUGAUAUAAGUUGUGUUAUGAAAGUGUAUCCGUGUGACUUACGAGAUCUAUGUAACAAUUGAUUCCAUGUUCCUUUAAGCUUUUAUUUUAUGUCAGUUUGACACUGACACUGAAACUGUUUUUCGUCUAGUUUUUCCGGGACAUGUGUGAAAGACAACGGCUGUAACAAGAGAGGGAAUAACAGUAAUAAUAUCGACCGAUCAGCGGUGAAGGGACUGCGUGUAUGUAAAGGUUCCAUAAAGACGUGUUGCUGCGAUAAGAAGAGGCCUUUAUUUCACGAGGUCACCAUGUUUAACCCCUUGUCAACAUUCCUAGUUACUGCACUUGUGCCAGCAAUAUGCCUCUUCUCGUUUACCAGAGAGCAAGAAGGGCAGAAUAUCUUUGAAGCAGCAUUUCAAGAUUGUAGGCUCAAGUCUGCUACGUGUUUCAUACGAUUGUCGGAGAAUACAGGUUAUAUUUCCCUAAAUGGCAUCAGCUGACUGAUCUUUGUAAUGGAGACGUGUUUUCUUUAAAGCACGAAGAAUAUUAUGUAGAGGAGCCUCUGGCAGGAAAGCGUUAAGGCUGGUUUACUUUAUUCUGACCCCGCUAUGCAGUAUGUGGGAAGAGUGGCGCAUAAUAACAGCGGAAACGGAGGGAGAGCCUAAACAAGCGAAAAUGUAAGAGGACUUCUUUAAAAGGAAUUCUCAUGUAACCGUCAAAUGGGGCAAGUGCAUUAGUCACACUGUGGAAGGACCAAGGGCCAUAGGACGUGACGUACAGCACGGGUAAUAUGAAGAUAGUCCCUGAGAUAACACGGUCGUCAGUGAUCAACGCUCAGCGCACAGGAGUGGUCUUACUGUUGUACUGGGUAGUCGUCCCAUGGCGGCAAGACAGCAAGAAUGAGUAAAUAAAAUGACUUCACGUUGCACGAAUACCGUGAUAUGUAUUUUGUAAUCGGGCAUACGCUGCAGCCAGGAAAUAUCCAGCAUGCCGGCAUCCAAUCAGUAAUGCUUUGCCGGCUGGACGACAGAAUGAGGGAGACUGGCAGCGUCCUACCAACAUCACUGCUGGGUAAGGGCCGUCCGUGCACUCACCGGUUACCAUCAGUCGAAGAGAUGUGGUGGCAGCGAGGAACUUCCCGAGGGCUGGGUGUCGAACAUCACGCUGUCAAUUUAAUCCUCCGGGAUGAAGACCUGUACUCAUGGGUCCAAAUUCCCAUGUCUCAUGGUUAUCAUCAUCGACUGUGAUACUAAUUGUGGCUUUUACGUAAUCUGGGCUUUUUGGAGCACAUCUUAUGGUCGGACGAAGCAUAAUCUCCAUGUGACACCUGAGUGAGGGCAUCAAGUUCGCUGGAGCAUCAGUAUAUGGGCCGGUAUCGUUGGCAGUUGUGUGGUUGGGUGAUACCUACUACUCGGUCGCAUUAAUGUCCCUGCUUAUUGGGUUGUACUGCAGGAAAUGCUACCGGUGCUAUAUGAAGAUGCACCGUUGGUGGCUGUACGCGGUAUGUGGUUUGUUCCGACGCAUUUUAGUGCACAUACCCAACUGCGCCUCAACACUCAAGUUUCCUGACUAGUAGCCAAGCAGUGGCGGCUCUGUAUCUAGCACGGCCUGCGGUGUCACCGGACCUGAACCCUCUGGCCUUCUUCCAUUGGGGACACCUGAAAUAAAUUGUUUACAGGGAUGAGAGCCGACUGACAUUUAAGACAUGACAGCAAAGUUUCGUGGUGCUGUGGUGACCAUUGAUGCAGAUAUGUUACGACGUGUGCAAGCUAAUAUUCCAUGACGUGUGGUUGCGUGUCGGCGAAUGCGUGGUGGACGCUGUAACUACUGCUCUCUCAAUUAUGUAUCUGCUCUUCUGUGUCGGCAAGCGUUGUACGCUUCACAAGCGAUGUUCAUUCUGACAUGUGUGAAAUGGGAAUUCAUAUUCGCUCUAUUCUUUUGUAGCUCAUUUGUUCAUGAGUGUUACAUGCAGUUUCUUUGUAGUUAUUCAACCCUCCGUGUGUCUCCCUGUCUCUCAGCGUCACUACUAAUUUAUUUCCUCCUUAUGAUCGGUGCGACUCUUGCAUCAUUAAAUUCCUUUAACAUUUUCGUUUUUUUUGACAUCUUAUCUGUUCCCAUUGUUAUUAUGCGCCAUUUUCCCCACAUUCUGUAGUUAGAACUUCGGAUAGUACCUUACUACCCGCCAGUACGCCAUAUAACACACUACAAACAUUGUUUGGCUGAAAAUGGCAGUAAUUCAUCUGCCAGUCCUGCGAAUUCGAAUCCUAUUCCUCUCUGUCUCCAAUUACUAGUUGACAUGCAUUCGCAUGAAUGCCGCAAGUGAUAUGGGCACAGAAACAUGACUGAAUGCUCAGGAGUAAUGGACCCAUCUGUGAACAAGAGACGUUUAAUUUGAAUCCCUGGAGAGAAGGGAAUCAUUUCACAUGCUUAACCAUUUGCGCUGCGAUUUGGUGUUACAGGGACCUUCUUUUGUUUGUAUAUUUCCAUGGUAACGUAUAAUUUCUCAUUGUCGAAAAGUCAAAAAAAGCUGUAACUGUUGAUAGA